rnacentral:rRNA from 1 species
UACGUAGGGUGCAAGCGUUGUUCGGAAUUACUGGGCGUAAAGGGCGCGUAGGCGGGUUUGAAAGUCGAUUGUGAAAUCCCUAGGCUCAACCUGGGAAUUGCAGUCGAAACUUCAAGUCUUGAAUGCUUGAGAGGGUGGUGGAAUUCCAGGUGUAGAAGUGAAAUUCGUAGAUAUCUGGAGGAACACCGGAGGCGAAGGCGGCCACCUGGCAAGACAUUGACGCUAAAGCGCGAAAGCGUGGGGAUCAAACAGGAUUAGAUACCCUGGUAGUCCACGCCAUAAACGAUGGAUACUAGAUGUUCGGAGAGUUAACCCUCUGAGUAUCACAGCUAACGCAGUAAGUAUCCCGCCUGGGGAGUACGGUCGCAAGACUAAA